GAUUUCCACAGAGCAGCAUUCUCCAAGCUGCCUCACAACCCAAAAAUCACCCGGUGGAGAGUGGUGGAGAGGGAAGAGUGACAAUUCCAGCCCUCAGGGAGAUCUCUGGGGUGAACCUGGGACGAUGAAUUCCUCCAAGAUGGGCUUAAUGGAUUGUUGGGGAUUUGGGGUUGUGGAGUAGGAUCAAAUCCGAGUGUUCGAGUUGUUCUAAUUACAGCCAGGCUCCUUUGAAGGAGCAGAGAGGCCUCAGCCAUCUAUAACAUCGCUGGAGGAGAAAAUUGAAGGGCUAUGUGCCCAAUUAAAUAACCCGCGGGGCUGGAAUUGAGAAUCAAUGUGCCAUGAACGAUGAGGGAUGGGCUGCUGGCGCCCAGCGCUCCAUCCACCUCCACAGCCUCGCAUCCCUGCAAGGACAGGACGGGAAUUCUGCCGCUCUCACUGUCCAGCCUUGGCGGGAGAAGGGCUCGGCGUUGUCCUGUGGGCUGGGACACUCUGGAUCUGCAGAGCCCUGGGCUGCUCAGGACCAAGAGCAGAGCGGGCCCUCUGUCUCCCUGGAUGUGUUUUUCCAUCAUCUGGGCAUUUUCCAGCUGGGAUUCAGGGCACCUGGACAAGCCCAAAAAGACCUGGACGAGCCCAGAAAUGGCUCCUCAUGAAGCUCUGCAAGGCCAAGAGAGGAGAAAUCCAGGAGCAACCUCUCCCUAGCCCAGCACACGGCCUUGGCCAGGGAGAGGAGGGAAAAAAAAGGAUGGAGGAGGAGAAGACCAGGCUCUUUCUUCCUCCCCUGGCUGGUGACAGGAUCCAAUCUCCUCAUGGUGUCCCCAAGCCUCUGUGCCCAGCAGGGACUCGCUUUUCUGUGCGUGAUCCCACCAGGAAUCCAUCCAUGGAGCUGCCGGUCGCGGUCACUCCUCCCAUGCCACAGAACCCACAAAUGCCGUCCUGAGCUGCUCCUGUUCCUUUUCCCUGUCCAUGGGAUGCGGCUGGAGCAAGGCAGGGAUGCAGGAAAGGAGUGUGCGCCUGGAUCCUGCUUUUUAUGGGAAGCCUGUGGUCCAGCCUGAGGAUUUUCUGUGGCGCCUCUGCCACGCCGAUUUUAUGAUUCCCAACACUUCUGCAUCCCCACGGAUCCCCACACCGCUCGGGAAUCCCCAGCAGGAGCAGCUUUAUUGACAGGAAAGGCUUUUUUUCUCAUCACAAAAAACUUCCUGCAGGAAAAGUGCUGUUUUCAAUCAAAUCCCGCUCGGGAGGGCAAAGAGAAGGGAAAAUUCUGUCACGGAGCUUUUUGGCUGAGUGAAAACAUCCCUAUUUCCACACAUCCGGAAGGGAAAGCUUCAAUUUUGCACCUCGAAACGAUUUUCACGCUGACAUUUCUUUUAUUCCACAUAAUCAGCCAGCUCUAAAUAUUAGAGUUUCGCCGCCAGAAGGAAACAUUUUGAGCGGCGUUUCCCCGCCUUCCCCACCUUCCCUUCUCCUUGCUUUCCCUCCCUUCAGGUGUUUGGAGAGAGCCGAGUUUUUCUCCCAGGCACUAAAAUUUCCGCUGCCUCUUUCCCUGAGGGGAAUUUUCAGCCUCUUUACCGACCCCCAAAAAAAGCCACAAAACUUCAUCUCUUCCCCCCCUAAUUUUUCCCACCUCUGCACGCCCCACAGCUGGAAUUUCUCCCUGCUUGAAUGUUCAUCCCAAAACUCCGGGUGGUUUCGACCAGCAACCAGGCUAGAGGAGAUUUAGAAAGAAGAUUAUGUGAAGAAGUAGUGGCCCUUUUUUUUGCCCCUUUUUCUCCUCAUCUCGUGCAAAUUACCCUAUUAUUCUGCUCCCUUAGGAUGCCUGAGUGUCCUUAUUUCUUCUUUUGAGCUAAAGUCACCCAUGCAUUAAAUUAGUUCUCUGCCUAGAAA